rnacentral:lncRNA from 1 species
ACCGAACAAUAAUGUAUAUAUAUAAAAAAAAAAACUUGGCAAAUUUAUAAAUGAAUUAAUGCGAAGUUAAUAGUGUUAUGUUUGCAGCAUGAAACCGUCUAUUAAUUAGUUAAAAAUAGUGAUAAUUUUAAGUGGAGUUAUAAAGAAAAAGCGAAGUUCACCCACUUAGUUUAAGACGAAAGCAAAGUUAAUGGGAUGUUUUUGGAUGAAUGAAGCCCUCGACUACCUACUAAGGAAGCAAACUAGUGUUCCACCUGUCACCUUUAUACCUUAUAUGGAACGGUUGACUGCGUCGGAAGGCCAUACACCACCUACAACAGUCAGGUGGGCAGAGACCUCGUCUUCUCUUUCUGGUUUUGUAAAUAUUAUCAGCAGCAAUGCCAGCGUAGGAGGCAGAAAAGCGAGAGUAUAGAGUAGAACGGGACACUUCUCCCAAUCGAUACAUUCUAGAAAUUGGGUCAGAGAAGAACGUAACUGUAUUGUCGAAAAAGUAAAAACAAAAAUUGGCAAAAUUUCGUUUUGGUCUACACCUAUAUCGUGCACGGUUGAAAAAUCGAUUUUUAAGUUGGGACUUUUACGUAAAGCGUGCCUACGGAUACUGCACUAGUUCCAGUUAGUCCCACCGAUUUGGCUUUUUCCCUGUUUGCGUUUGGAACGAUGCCAUUCUCCGCCUCUCGUACACCUACUUGGAACAAUCUCGCCCAUUUUCUCUCCUUCCUGAUCGUUUCUAAUGUUUUCGCCUUUAUAACUCAAUGCUGUGAACAAUAAGCAUUCACUCACCGCUUUAUAUUGCAAAAACAUUCCUCUAAAGUUCGCCUUCCAUUUGGAUUGGAAACUUAUCCUAGGUAAGUUGCAAGUUUUUCUAUUAGUUUAUUUUAGAUAACUGUAUACAUAUAUAACCAUGGAUCGAUUAUGCGCAGUUUCCUAACUUACAAAUCGACUUUAUUCUAUUUUAUCAUCCGAUCAAAGUCAAUCCUGCAUGUUCGUCUCUAGCAAAAUGAAAACUACCUUUUAUCGGCCUUUAUAAAAUCUAAUGCAUAUAAGAAUUUCCUCCAUUAUAAUGUCUUCAUCGAGUUAUACCGCAUUGGUCCUAUUCCAACUGUUUGUAUCACGACUGUUCCAAGUAUAGACAAAAGGCUCGUUAUCUCUGAUGUUCUUUUAAUAAUUGUCAAACAGGAAAUUAUACCAAUUAAUAAACUACUAGAGCCUUGAUUUUAUAUCGGCUCUAGUACUCGGUUUGUCGCCACCUUUUUAGAAAGCCAACUGGAGAAGUCCGAGUUGUUGAUAAAGUAUGUAUCGUGUCUGUAAGUUCUAAAUAGCCCCGAUUACGGUUAGCACUUAAUGGUUUCGUUGCUUGGUCGGUCAUGCAAAGUUUCCUGUGUUACGUGCAGAACUUCGACCCUGGAUGACCUUUCGAUGAAAAAAGAUACACCGUAAAAUAAACUGAUUAUUUCUCUUUGACUAUUUUAAUUUGGACGGUGGGCUAAUGCAUUUUUGAUACGGUGCACGGUAUAAGAAAAGAAAGAAAGAAAAACUCCUUACAGAAUCGUUUCCGGCUGAUUCGGAGAAGAAAAUGUGCUGGUGGAGUGAAGAAAAAUAGUAGGAUACUCGAGGUUGAUGAUGGGAUCUACGAU